UACAGAGACCUCAAGCGUUAUCCGGAUUUAUUGGGCGUAAAGGGUCCGCAGGUGGUUCGGCGCGUCGUCGGUUAAAUGUACGGGCUCAACUCGUACACCGCCGAUGAUACGGCCGGGCUAGAGGCUGGAAGAGGUGCGCGGAAUUGCCGGUGUAGUAGUAAAAUGCGUUUAUAUCGGCAAGAACACCAAAUGCGAAGGCAGCGCACUGGGACAGUCCUGACACUCAGGGACGAAAGCGUGGGGAGCGAAAGGGAUUAGAAACCCUGGUAGU
rnacentral:rRNA from 1 species